AGAAUCAACGCUGGCGGCGUGCCUCAGACAUGCAAGUCGAACGCGAAAGUCCCCUUCGGGGGGCAAGUAGAGUGGCGCACGGGUGAGUAACACGUAGGUAAUCUACCUUCGGAUGGGGAAUAACAAUCGGAAACGGUUGCUAAUACCGCAUAAUGCAGCGGCACCUAAUGGUGACAGUUGUUAAAGCGGGGGAUCGAAAGACCUCGCGUCCGAAGAGGAGCCUGCGGCGGAUUAGCUAGUUGGUAAGGUAACGGCUUACCAAGGCGACGAUCCGUA
rnacentral:rRNA from 1 species